rnacentral:rRNA from 1 species
CCUACGGGGUGCUGCAGUGGGGAAUAUUGGACAAUGGGCGAAAGCCUGAUCCAGCCAUGCCGCGUGUGUGAAGAAGGCCUUCGGGUUGUAAAGCACUUUCAGUGGGGAAGAAAGCCUUGGGGCUAAUACCCUCGGGGAAGGACAUCACCCACAGAAGAAGCACCGGCUAACUCCGUGCCAGCAGCCGCGGUAAUACGGAGGGUGCGAGCGUUAAUCGGAAUUACUGGGCGUAAAGCGCGCGUAGGCGGUCUGAUAAGCCGGUUGUGAAAGCCCCGGGCUCAACCUGGGAACGGCAUCCGGAACUGUCAGGCUAGAGUGCAGGAGAGGAAGGUAGAAUUCCCGGUGUAGCGGUGAAAUGCGUAGAGAUCGGGAGGAAUACCAGUGGCGAAGGCGGCCUUCUGGACUGACACUGACGCUGAGGUGCGAAAGCGUGGGUAGCAAACAGGAUUAGAUACCCUAGUAGUC